GGAUGACGGGAGCUUGCUCCCGAAUUCCGCGGCGGACGGGUGAGUAAUGCCUAGGAAUCUGCCUGGUAGUGGGGGACAACGUCUCGAAAGGGACGCUAAUACCGCAUACGUCCUACGGGAGAAAGCAGGGGACCUUCGGGCCUUGCGCUAUCAGAUGAGCCUAGGUCGGAUUAGCUAGUUGGUGAGGUAAUGGCUCACCAAGGCGACGAUCCGUAACUGGUCUGAGAGGAUGAUCAGUCACACUGGAACUGAGACACGGUCCAGACUCCUACGGGAGGCAGCAGUGGGGAAUAUUGGACAAUGGGCGAAAGCCUGAUCCAGCCAUGCCGCGUGUGUGAAGAAGGUCUUCGGAUUGUAAAGCACUUUAAGUUGGGAGGAAGGGCAUUAACCUAAUACGUUAGUGUUUUGACGUUAC
rnacentral:rRNA from 1 species